GUAGUAUUCCCUCCGUCCCAAAUUUUUUGUCUUACAUUUGUUUAGAUACGGACGUAUCUAACACUAAAAUGUAACUAGAUACAUCCGUAUUUAGACAAAUUUAAGACACGAAUUUUGGGACAGAGGGAGUACAAA
rfam:Triticum aestivum genome assembly, contig: Triticum_aestivum_CS42_TGACv1_scaffold_563301_7AL